GAGAGGGGCUUCAACUAAAAUCAUAAUUCCUCUGAUCUUCUUCUUCAAUCGCUUUGUUGGUGUUGCUUCUUCUUCGAUUACAUAGUUGUUGCUACUAAUCAACAUCAGUCUACUAAUCAAUUCCCAUCAUCUUCAAUUCAACAUCAGUCUACUAAUCAAUUCCCAUCAUCUUCAAUCAACAUCAUCAUUGAGAUAAUUUGAGGUUAGCUCUCUCUCUCUCUCUCUCUCUCUCUCUCUCUCUCUCUCUCUCUCUCUCUCUCUCUCUCUCUCUCUCUCAUUCCUAGAAUCUUUGUUCAUUCCUUCAUCGAUUUUAAUAACCAAAAGUCCGAAAAAAUAAAUCUAUAAUAUCAGCAUUGAACACUUCAUCAAUAUCUUCAAUUUUUGUUCAUUCCAUCUCUCUAAAUAUCUUGCACUUGUUUAUUCCUUCAUCAAUUAUGAAUCUACUAUAAUAUGAACACAUGUUCUUUCCUUCAUCAAUAAUAAAUCUACUGUAAUAUGAAUCUACUGUAAAAAUGAUUAUGAAUCUACUGUAAUAUUUUAAUUGAUUAUGCAUCUACUUGUUUUAAUUGUUAUGCAUCUACUGAAAUAAUUGAUUAUGAUUUUCUUUUUGCAGUACUGUCUAAAUGGCUUCUACUUAUUUUAACUCAAAAAAUAUUUCUUUGCAACCCAAGUCUACUGUAGUAAUAUUUGCUCCUGCCUCUGUGAGUAGCUUUGCUCCUACCUCUGCGAGUGGCUCUGCUCCAGAUUCAGCGAGUGACUCAGUCCCUCAAUCUGGUAAGAAAAGAUCAAUAGCUUGGCUUCAUUUUACUGAGGUUAAAUACUCUAAGCCGAAAAAGGCUACAUGUAACUAUUGUGCGACACUGUAUGCUUGUGAAGGAAAGUCUAAUGGCACUACUAAUAUGAAAGAUCAUAUCCUUAAAGGUAAAUGUCACAAAUAUGUUUAUCCCACACCUAAUUCUAAACGACUCUAGAUUGCAAACUAACCAAAGAUGGAAAACCACAAAUUUGUGGAAGGUGAGGGGUUUAGCGAAUUCGUGAAAAUUUUACAACCCAAGAUUAUCUUGCCUUUUCGUCAAACCAUUGCUAGGGAUUGCCUUAACUUUUUUCUAAAAGAAAAAAAAAGACUUUAAAGAAUCCUUUGAAAGGUAAACAGUAUGUCUCACAACCGAUACAUGGACUUCAAUCCAAAACUUAAAUUACAUGGUUCUCACGGCCCAUUUUAUUGAUAGUGAUUGGAAAUUGCACAAAAGAAUCUUAUAUUUUUGUCAAGUUCCAAACCACAAGGGUGAGACCAUUGGUAAGCUAGUAGAGAAGUGUUUGCAAGAUUGGGAUUUUGGUAGUAUUUUUACAAUUACUGUUGAUAAUGCAAGUUCUAAUAAUGUUGCCAUUGAUUACUUGAAGAUAAACACAAGCCAUUGGGAAGGGACUAUUUUAGGACACAAACAGUUGCACUUGAGAUGUUGCGCACAUAUACUUAAUCAUGUUGUUUCCGAUGGUUUAGAGUUAGUAGAUGAGAUGGUCUUGAAAGUUCGUCAUGCGGUUAGAUUUGUGAGGUCUUCCCCUAGUAGGUUUGUACUAUUCAACAAAUGUGUGCAAGAAGCCAAAAUUACUUGUGAUAAAUUGUUAUGCUGAGAUGUUCCAACUAGAUGGAACUCUACUUACAUGAUGCUUGAUGCAGCGGAGAAGUUUAAACUUCCUUUCAAACGAUUGGAUGGUAAUGGACAUUACAAAAAAUAUUUUGCGGAUGAACGAUUUGGGAAAGACAAGGUUAUUUUGUCACCUCCUAUUGUUUUUGAUUGGGUGAAUGUUCGAGAAUUUGUGAAGUUUUUGAAAGUGUUUUACAAUGCCACAUUACGAGUCUUCUGUUCUUUAUGUUACAUCUAAUGUUUUCCUUAAUGAACUUUACUUCAUUAAGUAUAGAUUGUCUAAGUUUGCUAAUAGUAUGGAUGAUCGGUUAAGUACUAUGGGCAUGGCUAUGCAAAAGAAAUAUGAUAAGUAUUGGAGCUUGGAUCGUGUUAAUAUUUUGUUGUACAUUAUUGUUGUGGUGUUUGAUCCUCGAAGGAAAAUGGAAUAUGUAUCAUUUUAUUUUAAGGAGUUGUAUGGUGUCUCACAAGCAAAGCUUAUGGUUGAUAAGGUGAAUCGUGAAUUGAUUGAGUUGUAUGAUUUGUAUGCAACAUUUAAUCCUAGUUUAUAUGUACCAACACAAUCACAAGGUGAAACAUCAAGAGGAGUGGAAGAUGGCGACGACGAAGAAGAUGUGGAUGCAAUAGUUUCAAGAUUUCAAAAGCAUUUGGAAGAUAAAGAAAACUUGGAUAGCAAAUCCGAGGUUGAGAGGUAUUUGGGAGAUCAUUGUGAAAAGAGUGGAUAUAUCUUUGAUAUUUUGGAUUGGUGGAAGAACAAUUCCACUAGGUAUAAAGUUCUCUCUCAAAUAGCGAUUCUUGUGUCUUCGGUUGCCCUUGAAAAUGCAUUUAGCACGAGAGGUCGAGUACUUGACCCAUUCCGUAGUUCUUUAGCUCCAAGUACGGUGGAAACACUCAUUUGUACUCAAGAUUAGUUGUGUGCUGCUUCAAUCGCAAUUAAUCUUCGACAAUUAAAAUAUUUUAGUUAAUUUGAACAUUGUUUUAUCGUUUAUAUGUUAACACAUGUAUUGUUUAUUUUUUGUUGUAGAAUUUUUUGGAUCAAUGCCAUAUUCAAAUGUUCCUACGCAAGUGGAAGAUGAUGUUGAUGAGGGGUAUUGCAGAUUCUACUGUGAUGGUAAUGCACUGGUGAUUUUUAUUUUUUCUUUUGAUGGGAAAACCUUGAGGCGACGAAUAAGUGAAAGAAUGUAUGCAGGUUGUUUUAAUUUUUCAUGUCUCAAUGUGUGUGAAGUGUGAACUGUGAGAUAUACACAGUUGAAGUUAUGAGCUAUUUUGAGUUUUAUGCACUGUACUACUAUAGCCUGUAGGUGUGAACUGUGAACUAUGAUGCAAUAUUUUUAGAAUUUUAGUUUUAUACUUUUAUUUAAUAUGACCA
rnacentral:lncRNA from 1 species